rnacentral:tRNA from 1 species
GCUGUAGUUCAGUGGUAGAGCACUUGCCUAGCAUGCACCAGGCCCUGGGUUCAAACUCCAGUACUGUG